AGUUGGUGAUCGUACAUUU
rnacentral:miRNA from 1 species